UAAAGAUUCAUCGCUGAUAGAUAGGCAUGCGUUCCAUUAGGCAGUUGGCGGGGUAACGGCCCACCAAACCGACGAUGGAUAGGGGUUCUGAGAGGAAGGUCCCCCACAUUGGUACUGAGACACGGACCAAACUCCUACGGGAGGCAGCAGUGAGGAAUAUUGGUCAAUGGGCGUAAGCCUGAACCAGCCAAGUCGCGUGAGGGAUGAAGGUUCUAUGGAUCGUAAACCUCUUUUAUAAGGGAAUAAAGUGUGGGACGUGUCCUGUUUUGUAUGUACCUUAUGAAUAAGGAUCGGCUAACUCCGUGCCAGCAGCCGCGGUAAUACGGAGGAUCCGAGCGUUAUCCGGAUUUAUUGGGUUUAAAGGGUGCGUAGGCGGCCUUUUAAGUCAGCGGUGAAAGUCUGUGGCUCAACCAUAGAAUUGCCGUUGAAACUGGGAGGCUUGAGUAUGUUUGAGGCAGGCGGAAUGCGUGGUGUAGCGGUGAAAUGCUUAGAUAUCACGCAGAACCCCGAUUGCGAAGGCAGCCUGCCAAGCCAUGACUGACGCUGAUGCACGAAAGCGUGGGGAUCAAACAGGAUUAGAUACCCUGGUAGUCCACGCAGUAAAAGAUGAUCACUAGCUGUUUGCGAUACAGUGUAA
rnacentral:rRNA from 1 species